rnacentral:rRNA from 1 species
CUCGUAGGCGGCCAACUAAGUCAGACGUGAAAUCCCUCGGCUUAACCGAGGAACUGCGUCUGAUACUGGAUGGCUUGAGUUCGGGAGAGGGAUGUGGAAUUCCAGGUGUAGCGGUGAAAUGCGUAGAUAUCUGGAGGAACACCGGUGGCGAAGGCGGCAUCCUGGACCGACACUGACGCUGAGGAGCGAAAGCCAGGGGAGCAAACGGGAUUAGACUACCCCGGUAGUCCUGGACCCUAAACGAUGAAUGCUUGGUGUGGCGGGUAUCGAUCCCUGCCGUGCCGAAGCUAACGCAUUAAGCAUUCCGCCUGGGGAGUACGGUCGCAAGGCUGGA